rnacentral:rRNA from 1 species
UACAGAGGUCCCAAGCGUUGUUCGGAUUUACUGGGCGUAAAGGGUGCGUAGGCGGUGCGUUAAGUCUGAUGUGAAAGCCCUGGGCUCAACUCAGGAAUUGCAUUGGAAACUGGCGUGCUGGAGUACGGGAGAGGGAAGCGGAAUUCCUGGUGUAGCGGUGAAAUGCGUAGAUACCAGGAGGAACACCGGUGGCGAAGGCGGUUUCCUGGCCCAGUACUGACGCUGAGGCGCGAAAGCUAGGGGAGCAAACAGG